UACGGGAACCAGUAGCCAAUCCCCCGGUCGCGUGAACUGUCACAGUCCGAAUCGAGCGGAUGCGACAAAAGAAGAAAAUGAAGCAAAAUCAAAACGUAAACAUUGAAAGUGAAUGUGCAUUUUGUAAUGAGGAGAAAAGAUCAAGUUUUGUGAGGGAUUUUGUGCGAUAUUUGUAGACGGGCGGUUCGAAUGUAGGAAAACUGGUGGCGAUUUCGCAACAAAUUCUCACCUGUAAAACCUGCGGAAACUUACCUGCUCGAAGACUCCAAGUACGAAGAUUCAAACGCCUACACAUAGGGUAACUGUUCCAUGAUUGAACCAAAGUAAAGGAACUCAGUGCCAGAAGAGUAGUGAAGGAGGAAACCAAUUCUUGUGAGUGGUUAAAGGAAAGGUGUGUAAAUUUAAACUAAAAUAAACAAAUAUUUACAGUUUGAGUUGCUG